CCCUCAGUGAUCCCUUGGCUUGUCUUUCUAAAUAUGACUAUAAUAAAUAUAAAUGGCAUCGGACCAUCAGGGGUCAGGUGCCACGUGAUCUCCCCACGAAAGCCACUUG
rfam:Pteropus vampyrus cont1.280182, whole genome shotgun sequence.